rnacentral:rRNA from 1 species
GACGAACGCUGGCGGCGUGCCUAAUACAUGCAAGUUGAGCGCUGAAGGUUGGUACUUGUACCAACUGGAUGAGCAGCGAACGGGUGAGUAACGCGUGGGGAAUCUGCCUUUGAGCGGGGGACAACAUUUGGAAACGAAUGCUAAUACCGCAUAAAAACUUUAAACACAAGUUUUAAGUUUGAAAGAUGCAAUUGCAUCACUCAAAGAUGAUCCCGCGUUGUAUUAGCUAGUUGGUGAGGUAAAGGCUCACCAAGGCGAUGAUACAUAGCCGACCUGAGAGGGUGGUCGGCCACAUUGGGACUGAGAAACGGCCCAAACUCCUACGGGAGGCAGCAGUAGGGAAUCUUCGGCAAUGGACGAAAGUCUGACCGAGCAACGCCGCGGGAGGGAAGAAGGUUUUCGGAUCGUAAAACUCUGUUGGUAGAGAAGAACGUUGGUGAGAGUGGAAAGCUCAUCAAGUGACGGUAACUACACAGAAAGGGACGGCUAACUACGUG